ensembl:lncRNA
AGAGAUGCCAGUGGCAACUUUGUGCUCCAGAGCACAGCAAUUUCCUUUACCCAGAAGGCAGAAUGGAGCGCCCACCAACCAAGAGGCAGCAGCUAAUGGGGAGGCUCCACACCAUUGAGCCAAUGGAGGUGGGACCCACCUGAGAGCAGAGAGGAGCCCAUGGAGGUGGAUUCAAGGCCUGGGGAAGACCCAGUGGAGGUCGAUCCACCUCCAUCAGGGACAAACCACCAGCAGGCCACCACUCUUCAAGCUGCGUGAGAGGACAUCCAGACCCCAUCCCUACCAUCACAGCAGGGUGGGGUCCUGCCCACCUCCCCCCACGGCUGCCUCAAUGCCAGCGCUGAACAUCCUGUCCUUCAAGGAUGCCAUGAACCCAUCCUUCCCAUCUCCACCCCCUCCCUCACCAAGUCCCCUCAUCUCUUCUUCAGCAAGAGGAAGGAACAAAGGCAGGGACCGGCAUCCUCUGAGCUGCUGUGCUGGGGCAACAGGAGGAGUCUGUAGGAGGGACCUGAGCUGCAUGGGGCUGUGAGGAGGACUCACAGCUGGUACAGAGGCAGCUGCUGCUCUGGAGAAGCAGAAGACUUUGGUGCUUAUGGGAAGAAGGCUGAGGCUUAGCAUAAAGGAUGUCUGUUCAACACUGGAUAAUAAAGGGAUUCAAAACAAAGAGAGAAGAUUAGAAAAGAAAAAGCAC